AUUGAACGCUGGCGGCAGGCUUAACACAUGCAAGUCGAGCGGGGGAAGGUAGCUUGCUACCGGACCUAGCGGCGGACGGGUGAGUAAUGCUUAGGAAUUUGCCUAUUAGUGGGGGACAACAUCUCGAAAGGGAUGCUAAUACCGCAUACGUCCUACGGGAGAAAGCAGGGGAUCUUCGGACCUUGCGCUAAUAGAUGAGCCUAAGUCGGAUUAGCUAGUUGGUGGGGUAAAGGCCUACCAAGGCGACGAUCUGUAGCGGGUCUGAGAGGAUGAUCCGCCACACGGGGACUGAGACACGGCCCAGACUCCUACGGGAGGCAGCAGUGGGGAAUAUUGGACAAUGGGGGGAACCCUGAACCAGCCAUGCCGCGUGUGUGAAGAAGGCCUUAUGGUUGUAAAGCACUUUAAGCGAGGAGGAGGCUACUUUAGUUAAUACCUAGAGAUAGUGGACGUAACUCGCAGAAUAAGCACCGGCUAACUCUGUGCCAGCAGCCGCCGUAA
rnacentral:rRNA from 1 species